UCGCCUCCGCAGUUAUCCCUUACGGCAGGAGUGCGACGUCCCACGACGACCUGACCAUCCUCCUAGAUCUCAUCUCACCAGGGGAUGGAGCGAGCAGGGCAAAAGGAUGAGAGGAGGACGCAUCCGACGGCGACUUGAUCGUCCUCCUCGAUCUCGCCGGCAACCCCCUGGAGGCCGACCGCCCGCCGUCACUCCUCGUGCUCCUCCUCAACAUCCGCGCCUCCAGCAGCAAUGCGACGGAUCUUCCUCCCUGUGCCACAGACCUACCACCAUGGAGACGAAUCCACUAUGAUGGCGUGACGGCUCCACCACUAUGGAGACGGAUCCACCAUGACGACGCCACAGAUCGACCACGAUGUGGACGGUUGCAUCACGAUGGCCCCAGAGUUCCACGGUUUUACCACGAAGCCGAUGGUUUUACCACGAAGCCGACGGUCCUCUCCAUCCCCAGCCCGUGCGCCGACGAGGAGGUCCUGACCCUCAUCGGAUCUCGUCGUCCCCGUGGACAAGUACUGUCCCGACACAGCCGCUGUCUUCCUCUGCUCCUACGUGGUCGCUGGUUUAGAUGUUUUCUUCAACCUGGAGGCUCAGCCAGGUUUUCCUUCCAUCUUCUACUUCGACCUCUAUUUUUUUCGUGCGGAAUGUUAAGCAAAAUAUCCAAGAGAAGUACAACUGCUCUCGGCUUCAGAAGAUACCCUGGAGAAAUUUGUGUUGUUGUGUUUUGAAUGAUGACUCUAGCUAUAGUAGAAAUGUAUUAGGAAUGCAUGGUCGUGCAUAUGCAUUUCGUGGCUCUGAAUGAGGUCAGUAUCCCAUAUUAGCUACGUCUUGUUCAUAUAUUUUUGCCUUUUCUCUCUGCGGUGGGUGGUGGCUGUUUGAUAAUGGUCCAGUUUAGAUGUUUUUAUGAUACUAUCGAGAUAUGUCACACCGUAUGUAUUAACUAUUGACAAUUUUAGUUAAUGAUU